rnacentral:rRNA from 1 species
UAUAUCAGUUAUAGUUUAUUUGAUGGUUCUUGCUACUUGGAUAACCGUAGUAAUUCUAGAGCUAAUACAUGCGUCAAACCCCGACUUCUGGGAGGGGUGUAUUUAUUAGAUGGAAACCAAUGCGGGGCAACCCGGUAUAUGGUGAUUCAUAAUAACUUUCGGAUCGAUCUUCGGAUCGAUGCAUCAUUCAAGUUUCUGCCCUAUCAGCUUUGGAUGGUAGGGUAUUGGCCUACCAUGGCUUUAACGGGUAACGGAGAAUUAGGGUUCGAUUCCGGAGAGGGAGCCUGAGAAAUGGCUACCACAUCCAAGGAAGGCAGCACGCGCGUAAAUUACCCAAUCCUGACACAGGGAGGUAGUGACAAUAAAUAACAAUGCC